rnacentral:rRNA from 1 species
UUGGCGAACGGGUGAGUAACGCGUGAGUAACCUGCCCUGGAUGGGGGACAACAGUUGGAAACGACUGCUAAUACCGCAUAAGCCCACGGCCCGGCAUCGGGCUGCGGGAAAAGGAUUUAUUCGCUUCAGGAUGGACUCGCGUCCAAUUAGCUAGUUGGUGAGGUAACGGCCCACCAAGGCGACGAUUGGUAGCCGGACUGAGAGGUUGAACGGCCACAUUGGGACUGAGACACGGCCCAG